rnacentral:rRNA from 1 species
AAACCAACAGGGAUUGCCUUAGUAACGGCGAGUGAAGCGGCAAAAGCUCAAAUUUGAAAUCUAGCACUUUCAGUGUUCGAGUUGUAAUUUGAAGAAAGUUUCUCUGAGUAGUCCUUUAUCUAUGUUCCUUGGAACAGGACGUCAUAGAGGGUGAGAACCCCGUAUGAUUUUGGAUCCUACUCUCUGUGAGAUUCUUUCGAAGAGUCGAGUUGUUUGGGAAUGCAGCUCUAAGUGGGUGGUAAAUUCCAUCUAAAGCUAAAUAUUGGCGAGAGACCGAUAGCGAACAAGUACAGUGAUGGAAAGAUGAAAAGAACUCUGAAGAGAGAGUGAAAAAGUACGUGAAAUUGCUGAAAGGGAAGGGCUUGAGGUCAGACUUGGUGUUUAAUGAUUAUCUUCUCUUCUUGAGGAGUGCACUCGUUUUUCACCGGGCCAAUAUCAGUUUUUGGGGUAGAGCACCUCUUGGAAUGUAGCUUCCUUCGGGGAGUGUUAUAGCCUUGAGACGAUCUAUUUCCAGAGACUGAGGACUGCGCAUUAUUGCAAGGAUAUUGGCGUAAUGACCUUAAGCCAC